CUACACGCCCCCGUCACAUAAACAGGGGGUUGAGGGUGGAAGAGCACUGCCUAUGAGUCCUCUCCCAGACUUCCUAGGUGACCGGGUCAAGGUCUAAAGUCCAAAAUACAGAACUCUGAUAAACAUCAGUGGGAGUUUUGAGUAUGUAAGGACUGAACUCCCAGAAUAUCACGUAAGACCUUCUGUGUGUGCAUGAAAAGAGAAUUUUGCCCUGCAUAUAUGAAACACUUCACCCACCUCCAGGGUGAAACAGCUCCUGCUUAAUAAUGCGUAGCAACAUCACAGGACAGGAAGUGAAGAAUACAAUAUCUUAUUGAAAUAACAGGGGGAAAUGUGGUUCAACUAUGCUCACUAAAGGCCGAACUCUGCUCUCAGAAACAUAUCUGCCACUGCUGUUGACUUGAUAGGAACUGCAAGCAUGCAUAUCAAGAUAGAAUUUGUCCACAGACAGAACUGGAUAUCUGGCUAUUCUAUGGGGGACCUGUUGGUUGGCACAUAUGGAAAAAAUAAGCCAAGAUCUUGGGAAAGGCAGAGGAAGGAGAAGGAAACACUACCUGUGAACCAGGUCAUAGGUAUGAAGAGAACCAUUAGUCUUCUCCAAAGCAGCACCACAGAAUGGAUGGGAAGGACCACUAUGGAAAUGAGAAAGGAUGAAUAAGCUAAGAGGCAAGAGCUACAAUAAAUAGGUUCAGUGGAGAUUCCACAGUUAAUCUCUCCUCAGUACACAC